rnacentral:rRNA from 1 species
UACGGAGGGUGCGAGCGUUGUUCGGAAUCACUGGGCGUAAAGCGCGUGUAGGCGGCUCGAUAAGUCUGGUGUGAAAGCCCGGGGCUCACCCCCGGAAGUGCACUGGAUACUGUCGAGCUCGAGUUCCGGAGAGGAAAGUGGAAUUCCUGGUGUAGCGGUGAAAUGCGUAGAUAUCAGGAGGAACACCGGUGGCGAAGGCGGCUUUCUGGACGGUAACUGACGCUGAGACGCGAAAGCGUGGGGAGCAAACAGG